UGCUGACUCUAUCCGAAGCAUUGUGCUGAC
rnacentral:piRNA from 1 species